rnacentral:rRNA from 1 species
GUCUACAGCCAUGCCACCCUGAACAAGCCCGAUUUCAUCAGAUCUCGGAAGCUAAGCAGGGUCAGGCUUGGUUAGUACUUGGAUGGUAGACCACCAAGGAAGACCAGGUGCUAUAGGCA